rnacentral:rRNA from 1 species
AUUGAACGCUGGCGGCAGGCCUAACACAUGCAAGUCGAGCGAGAAAGGUCUUCGGACUGAGUACAGCGGCGGACGGGUGAGUAAAGCGUAGGAAUCUACCUGGUAGUGGGGGAUAACUUGGGGGAAACUCAAACUAAUACCGCAUACGCCUACGGGGAAGCGGGGACCUUCGGGCCUCGCGCUAUCAGAUGAGCCUGCGUAGGAUUAGCUAGUUGGUGAGGUAAAGGCUCACCAAGGCGACGAUCCUUAGCUGGUCUGAGAGGAUGAUCAGCCACACUGGGACUGAGACACGGCCCAGACUCCUACGGGAGGCAGCAGUGGGGAAUAUUGCGCAAUGGGCGAAAGCCUGACGCAGCCAUGCCGCGUGUGUGAAGAAGGCCUUUAGGGUGUAAAGCACUUUCAAUUGGGAAGAAAGUUGGUCGGUUAAUAGCGGCCAGCCCUUGACAUUACCUUUAGAAGAAGGACCGGCUAACUCCGUGCCAGCAGCCGCGGUAAUGUCGU